GUGGGGAAUAUUGGACAAUGGGGGGAACCCUGAUCCAGCCAUGCCGCGUGUGUGAAGAAGGCCUUUUGGUUGUAAAGCACUUUAAGCGAGGAGGAGGCUACCGAGAUUAAUACUCUUGGAUAGUGGACGUUACUCGCAGAAUAAGCACCGGCUAACUCUGUGCCAGCAGCCGCGGUAAUACAGAGGGUGCAAGCGUUAAUCGGAUUUACUGGGCGUAAAUCGCGCGUAGGUGGCCAAUUAAGUCAAAUGUGAAAUCCCCGGGCUUAACUUGGGAAUUGCAUUCGAUACUGGUGGGAUAGAGUAUGGGAGAGGAUGGUAGAAUUCCAGGUGUAGCGGUGAAAUGCGUAGAGAUCUGGAGUAAUACCGAUGGCGAAGGCAGCCAUCUGGCCUAAUACUGACACUGAGGUGCGAAAGCAUGGGGAGCAAACAGGAUUAGAUACCCCUGUAGUCC
rnacentral:rRNA from 1 species